rnacentral:rRNA from 1 species
CCUACGGGGUGCAGCAGUGGGGAAUAUUGGACAAUGGGCGAAAGCCUGAUCCAGCCAUGCCGCGUGUGUGAAGAAGGCCUUCGGGUUGUAAAGCACUUUCAGUGGGGAAGAAAGCCUUGGGGCUAAUACCCUCGAGGAAGGACAUCACCCACAGAAGAAGCACCGGCUAACUCCGUGCCAGCAGCCGCGGUAAUACGGAGGGUGCGAGCGUUAAUCGGAAUUACUGGGCGUAAAGCGCGCGUAGGCGGUCUGAUAAGCCGGUUGUGAAAGCCCCGGGCUCAACCUGGGAACGGCAUCCGGAACUGUCAGGCUAGAGUGCAGGAGAGGAAGGUAGAAUUCCCGGUGUAGCAGUGAAAUGCGUAGAGAUCGGGAGGAAUACCAGUGGCGAAGGCGGCCUUCUGGACUGACACUGACGCUGAGGUGCGAAAGCGUAGGUAGCAAACAGGAUUAGAUACCCUAGUAGUC